rnacentral:rRNA from 1 species
AUAGAUCCGUAACUUCGGGAAAAGGAUUGGCUCUAAGGGUUGGGUGCAUCGGGCCUUGGUAAGAAGCCUCGGGAUCUAGCAGGGACUGUUUGGAGGGCAACUUCUAGAUGGACCCAGCCGGGACCUGGGUGUGGACGACCUUGGCUGCUCUUCGGGGCGUCCGGUGUACGCUUAACAACCAACUUAGAACUGGUACGG